UUAAGCGACUAAGCGUACACGGUGGAUGCCCUGGCAGUCAGAGGCGAUGAAGGACGUGCUAAUCUGCGAAAAGCGUCGGUAAGGUGAUAUGAACCGUUAUAACCGGCGAUGUCCGAAUGGGGAAACCCAGUGCAAUUCGUUGCACUAUCGUUAACUGAAUACAUAGGUUAACGAGGCGAACCGGGGGAACUGAAACAUCUAAGUACCCCGAGGAAAAGAAAUCAACCGAGAUUCCCCCAGUAGCGGCGAGCGAACGGGGAGCAGCCCAGAGUCUGAAUCAGCUUGUGUGUUAGUGGAACGGUCUGGAAAGUCCGACGGUACAGGGUGAUAGUCCCGUACACCAAAAUGCACAGGUUGUGAACUCGAAGAGUAGGGCGGGACACGUGGUAUCCUGUCUGAAUAUGGGGGGACCAUCCUCCAAGGCUAAAUACUCCUGACUGACCGAUAGUGAACCAGUACCGUGAGGGAAAGGCGAAAAGAACCCCGGCGAGGGGAGUGAAAAAGAACCUGAAACCGUGUACGUACAAGCAGUGGGAGCACCUUCGGGUGUGACUGCGUACCUUUUGUAUAAUGGGUCAGCGACUUAUAUUCUGUAGCAAGGUUAACCGUAUAGGGGAGCCGCAGGGAAACCGAGUCUUAACUGGGCGUUAAGUUGCAGGGUAUAGACCCGAAACCCGGUGAUCUAGCCAUGGGCAGGUUGAAGGUUGGGUAACACUAACUGGAGGACCGAACCGACUAAUGUUGAAAAAUUAGCGGAUGACUUGUGGCUGGGGGUGAAAGGCCAAUCAAACCGGGAGAUAGCUGGUUCUCCCCGAAAGCUAUUUAGGUAGCGCCUCGUGAACUCAUCUUCGGGGGUAGAGCACUGUUUCGGCUAGGGGGUCAUCCCGACUUACCAACCCGAUGCAAACUACGAAUACCGAAGAAUGUUAUCACGGGAGACACACGGCGGGUGCUAACGUCCGUCGUGAAGAGGGAAACAACCCAGACCGCCAGCUAAGGUCCCAAAGUCAUGGUUAAGUGGGAAACGAUGUGGGAAGGCACAGACAGCCAGGAUGUUGGCUUAGAAGCAGCCAUCAUUUAAAGAAAGCGUAAUAGCUCACUGGUCGAGUCGGCCUGCGCGGAAGAUGUAACGGGGCUAAACCAUGCACCGAAGCUGCGGCAGCGACACUAUGUGUUGUUGGGUAGGGGAGCGUUCUGUAAGCCUGCGAAGGUGUGCUGUGAGGCAUGCUGGAGGUAUCAGAAGUGCGAAUGCUGACAUAAGUAACGAUAAAGCGGGUGAAAAGCCCGCUCGCCGGAAGACCAAGGGUUCCUGUCCAACGUUAAUCGGGGCAGGGUGAGUCGACCCCUAAGGCGAGGCCGAAAGGCGUAGUCGAUGGGAAACAGGUUAAUAUUCCUGUACUUGGUGUUACUGCGAAGGGGGGACGGAGAAGGCUAUGUUAGCCGGGCGACGGUUGUCCCGGUUUAAGCAUGUAGGCUGGUUGUCCAGGCAAAUCCGGAUAAUCAAGGCUGAGGUGUGAUGACGAGGCACUACGGUGCUGAAGUAACAAAUGCCCUGCUUCCAGGAAAAGCCUCUAAGCAUCAGGUAACAUCAAAUCGUACCCCAAACCGACACAGGUGGUCAGGUAGAGAAUACCAAGGCGCUUGAGAGAACUCGGGUGAAGGAACUAGGCAAAAUGGUGCCGUAACUUCGGGAGAAGGCACGCUGGUGUGUAGGUGAAGUCCCUGCGGAUGGAGCUGAGACCAGUCGAAGAUACCAGCUGGCUGCAACUGUUUAUUAAAAACACAGCACUGUGCAAACACGAAAGUGGACGUAUACGGUGUGACGCCUGCCCGGUGCCGGAAGGUUAAUUGAUGGGGUUAUCCGUAAGGAGAAGCUCUUGAUCGAAGCCCCGGUAAACGGCGGCCGUAACUAUAACGGUCCUAAGGUAGCGAAAUUCCUUGUCGGGUAAGUUCCGACCUGCACGAAUGGCGUAAUGAUGGCCAGGCUGUCUCCACCCGAGACUCAGUGAAAUUGAACUCGCUGUGAAGAUGCAGUGUACCCGCGGCAAGACGGAAAGACCCCGUGAACCUUUACUAUAGCUUGACACUGAACAUUGAGCCUUGAUGUGUAGGAUAGGUGGGAGGCUUUGAAGCGUGGACGCCAGUCUGCGUGGAGCCAACCUUGAAAUACCACCCUUUAAUGUUUGAUGUUCUAACGUUGGCCCCUUAUCGGGGUUGCGGACAGUGUCUGGUGGGUAGUUUGACUGGGCGGUCUCCUCCCAAAGCGUAACGGAGGAGCACGAAGGUUAGCUAAUCCUGGUCGGACAUCAGGAGGUUAGUGCAAUGGCAUAAGCUAGCUUGACUGCGAGCGUGACGGCGCGAGCAGGUGCGAAAGCAGGUCAUAGUGAUCCGGUGGUUCUGAAUGGAAGGGCCAUCGCUCAACGGAUAAAAGGUACUCCGGGGAUAACAGGCUGAUACCGCCCAAGAGUUCAUAUCGACGGCGGUGUUUGGCACCUCGAUGUCGGCUCAUCACAUCCUGGGGCUGAAGUAGGUCCCAAGGGUAUGGCUGUUCGCCAUUUAAAGUGGUACGCGAGCUGGGUUUAGAACGUCGUGAGACAGUUCGGUCCCUAUCUGCCGUGGGCGCUGGAGAAUUGAGGGGGGCUGCUCCUAGUACGAGAGGACCGGAGUGGACGCAUCACUGGUGUUCGGGUUGUCAUGCCAAUGGCACUGCCCGGUAGCUAAAUGCGGAAGAGAUAAGUGCUGAAAGCAUCUAAGCACGAAACUUGCCCCGAGAUGAGUUCUCCCUGAGACUUUAAGUCUCCUGAAGGAACGUUGAAGACGACGACGUUGAUAGGCCGGGUGUGUAAGCGCAGCGAUGCGUUGAGCUAACCGGUACUAAUGAACCGUGAGGCUUAACCUU
rnacentral:rRNA from 1 species